GGAAUAUUGCGCAAUGGGGGAAACCCUGACGCAGCAACGUCGCGUGAGUGAGGAAGUAUCUCGGUAUGUAAAGCUCUAUCAGCAGGGAAGAAAGAAAUGACGGUACCUGACUAAGAAGCCCCGGCUAACUACGUGCCAGCAGCCGCGGUAAUACGUAGGGGGCAAGCGUUAUCCGGAUUUACUGGGUGUAAAGGGAGCGUAGACGGCUGAGCAAGUCUGAAGUGAAAGGCGGGGGCCCAACCCCCGGACUGCUUUGGAAACUGUAUAGCUAGAGUGCAGGAGAGGUAAGUGGAAUUCCUAGUGUAGCGGUGAAAUGCGUAGAUAUUAGGAGGAACACCAGUGGCGAAGGCGGCUUACUGGACUGUAACUGACGUUGAGGCUCGAAAGCGUGGGGAGCAAA
rnacentral:rRNA from 1 species